rnacentral:tRNA from 1 species
AGAAACUUAGGAUAACGCCACAAACCAAGGGCCUUCAAAGCCCUAAAUAAGAGUUAAACCCUCUUAGUUUCUG